rnacentral:lncRNA from 1 species
GGUUUAUUAAUGAGAGGAUUGAAUUUCUAGUUAUUUCAAGAAGUAAGACUAAUGAAGAAAGUAAGGAGAUACAUGUGACGUCCCAAUCAAAUUCAAAUGGAUUGUCAAAGAUAUCAUCCGAGUUUUCUCAAUUUUUACAUACAAGGUGUUGAAUUUGUAGGUAUGAAGAAGGAUCGGUCUAAAAGUGUUGUUGAGAUUCCUGCUUCAGUUUUGGAGUUCUUUACCAGAAGCAAACAAUUGUGAGGGAAGCGCGUUGCAACAAUACCACUCUGGUGGAGAAUGGAGAGACAUGCUAGGUGUGGUUUCCCAUAGAAAAAAUGAGGCACUGGCUCAAGAAAAUUUCGGUAAUAUGUGGACAAAAGGAAGAAAUCACAAGAGGGAAGAACGUGCAAAUCAGAUGGGAAAAACUUUAAAUCUAAAGACUCCAGUGACGACUCUGAGACGGAACUGUUUGGAAGAAUAUAUAGUGGAGCAACAACUUCUUCAUCCAUGUCCUUAGCUUCUUAGAAUUAUUUAGAUACUCUCUACAUUUUUAUUGUAUUAAAUUGUAGUCAAUAUUUUGGUUUAUUGAAACUAUGUAAAACAUGAUUAGAUGUGUGUUAAUGUAUAUAAUUUUGUUAUUUAAAUAUUAUAUUUUUG